CACAGCUUGUCCUACAGUUUUUAAAAAAUCCUGCUCUUAUUUAUUCCUAAGGGAUGGCAGAAGAGUUAAAAUCUUCCCAGUUGAAAACAUGUAUUUGACUUGAGUCUCCGGGCACUGCAGAACCAUUUCCUGUGAUUGCAGCAGAGAGAGAUAAAAUUCCACUGUGGUGGGAAUAAACCGAAAUUAGAUCAAAGAUUUCCGGAUAAUUAAGAGUUCCAAACCAAAACCUCUUUUGCCGCCUUUUGCUUGAUCUACUUUUUUUUUCUUUUUUUUUUUUUCAGGCAAACAGGGCAGUGCUUCACACAGGAAGCCAAAUUUGCCUAUCAAAAACAACAAUCCAAAUUGAAAGCGUAACAAGAGCUGAACCGCAUUUGCAUCCACUGCAAUUCCGCGCGCAAACCUGUACCAUGCCGCAAGCAGAGGGCUCAGGAGGUGCCUCGCUGGCUGAACGCUUCCUCCGCGGACACAUGCAUGGCUAGCACAGGUGGAUGGAAUUGGCGGAUUUGGGGUGUGAGGUUCUAGCUCUUCUGCCGUGAAGCAUCCCAGCACCUAGUUUUGGGCUAGAAGCUGGAGAGCAGCUGGCUGGCAGAGGUGACAACGCAGAGCGAGCCCGGGGCUCCGGCGCGGCUGCCGAGCUCUCCCGGGGGGAUGCCAAGGGCCCCCUGCUCGGCCCCAUGCGCCUGAUGGAGGACAGGAGCCGCCAGCUCCCGCUCUAUAAAAGCCAGGCGAGGCCUGGGGUGGGGCUGGCGUCAGCGGGAAAUGUCUCCCUGGAAGCAGGUACGUGUCCGCGCCCUGCGCGUUUGGGAGGGCGGGGUGCGGGGGCCGAGCGCACCGGGGCUGCCGCGGUCCCUCCCCGCCGGCGGGGCCCGGGAGCUGCCCCGCUCUGCUGCGGCCGCGGGGGGAGCCCGGCCCCAGCCCAGCGCCGCAGCCCCGGCGCUCCCCGCCUCCCGAGCCGGCCGGGAGCCGCAGCUGGCAGCGGCCGGAGGCGCAGCUCCCCGGGUGGCGGCGGAGCCUGGCCGGGCUGCCCGCGCCUCCCGCCGCCUCGUCAGUGGUGGCACGGAUCGCCUCCGUCCUGGCCCCGCGGCGGGAAGGGCCGCCCAAGCGGAGCCCUCCUCCCGCCGCCGCACACCCCGAGGAACGGCUUGUUUUCCUGCCCGGAUGAUGGAUUUCUCCGCAAGGUCAUCCCUGCCCGCGGCGGCGGUGUGCCCGCGGCUGCCCAGGCGCCGCCGCGGAGAUUCCUGCCAGAUUUCUACAUGACUGUUGUAUCCAGAUUGGCAUGCCUGCGGGAAUGUGAGCAGACUUUCCUACCAGCAGCCAGCUCAAACAUGCAGAUGACAUGGAGAGAACCCACACAAUGUCUGAGCCGCUCCUCAAAAAGCCUUAGGAGAAGAAAAUGA
rnacentral:lncRNA from 13 species